AUGACCUUCCCCCGUAGCGGCGAUGGAUGGAGCAGCUCAACAAUGGCGCACUUCUUGCCGGUGUCGUUGUUGGCGCAGGGCCACACCAUCCCCAUGACUGACAUGGUGCCCCUGCUGCCAGAGCAUGGGGCGCAGGUCAGCUCCAUCACCACGCCGGUGAACGUCUCCAGCUUGGCAGGAUUUGCAGCCGACGUGAAGGCAGUGGGCCUGGCGAUUCAGCUCGUGGAGCUCCGGUUCCCGACCGCUGAGUUCGGCCUAUCGGACGGGUGCGAGAACCUCGACAUGAUCCAUGCCACGGACCUGCUUUCGAAAUUCAUGAAGGCCAUUGACGCACUUCGGGAGCCGCUCAUGGCCCACCUUCGUGAGCAGCAGCGCUUGCGUCAGAGCUGCAUCAUAUCUGACAUGAUAAACUGGUGGACAGGUGACAUCGCAAGGGAGCUCGGCAUCCCGAGGCUCGCCUAUGUUGGCUUUUGUGGCUUCUCAUCCCUCAUCAGGUAA
rnacentral:rRNA from 1 species